ACGCGCUCGGCCCUGUCGGGGGCUCACGUGGGGGGGGAUCCUUGCAGGUGGGAGUCGAGAGCGUUUCCUAGCGCCCGAGCCAUGGUGGCCAAACAGCGCAUCCGGAUGGCUAACGAGAAGCACAGCAAAAAUAUCACCCAGAGGGGGAAUGUAGCCAAAACCCUGAGGCCGCAAGAAGAGAAAUAUCCUGUGGGCCCAUGGCUGUUGGCACUGUUUGUUUUUGUUGUCUGCGGCUCAGAACAUGUGCGCUGUCCAGAGGUUCCAGAUGGACGGCCAUUCUCGGUCUGCUCCCAGGUGGAUAAAGCCCUUGACCCAGCCAUGGGCUGCUUCUUGACUGGGCCACCGGGGUGCUCUAUCCCCUUGCUCUGUCCUGGACACUUGCUCCAGGACAAAUUUGAAUUCACCGUGUUUGCAGGUCGACCACAUAAGCACUGGCCUUUCCUGGAGACUGCCCGAACUAUCUUGAAAUUGUGACACCCAGAGGGAGUCACAGCCCCAAGACUGGCAAGUUUGAGGAACUGAGCAGCCCUGGGAGAAACCUUUCCGUUUCACCACAAAGGAAAGCUUGAGGACAUGCGUCUGCUCUGGAACUCCUGCCUCAGGAUCUGAGAUGGACGGUCUGGAAGAGAUGUCUCAUCAGCCAUGGGCUCCCUCAAGCUAUCUUCCAGAUCAUUCAGAGCAUAAGGAUGGGCAUGUGAGCAGGCUGGGCUCUGACACGGCCCCCUGCCGCUGGAGGGUGGAGGCCACUUCAGCUCUUAGCCGGGUAUCUGUGGGAAGCUGACAAGCCACCCAGAAGAGAAAAAAAGGCUCCCUCAACUGUUCCCUGAUCACUUCAUCGUGGAUGUCAGACCAAAUUUCUUUCUCACAGGACAUCUCGGUACAUCUGUGUUCUCAAGCGGAAAGGACAUUUUGCUUUGCAGUUGGCAGGAUUGGUAGCUCUCCGGGUGUCUGCAGCAGAGCUGUCUGUCUGCUUUUGCCCUGGGUUUCACUGAUGUCUGCAUGUGGGCUUCUGAAUGAUCACCGCUUUACUUUUUAUGGAUACAAGCUCUGCUCCAUUGGGAAUUGCUUUUACAAAUAAAUGUCUU